rnacentral:snRNA from 1 species
UGUCAUUGAAAGAUGCAA